rnacentral:piRNA from 1 species
UAUAGCAGUUCUGAAAGUCUCCCUACC